rnacentral:rRNA from 1 species
GACGAACGCUGGCGGCGUGCUUAACACAUGCAAGUCGAACGGAAAGGCCCUGCUUUUGUGGGGUGCUCGAGUGGCGAACGGGUGAGUAACACGUGAGUAACCUGCCCUUGACUUUGGGAUAACUUCAGGAAACUGGGGCUAAUACCGGAUAGGAGCUCCUGCUGCAUGGUGGGGGUUGGAAAGUUUCGGCGGUUGGGGAUGGACUCGCGGCUUAUCCGCUUGUUGGUGGGGUAGUGGCUUACCAAGGCUUUGACGGGUAGCCGGCCUGUGAGGGUGACCGGCCACAUGGGGACUGAGAGACGGCCCAGACGCCUACGUGCGGCAGCAGUGGGGAAUAUGGCAGAAUGGGGGGAAGCCUGAUGCAGCAACGCCGCGUGCGGGAUGACGGCCUUCGAGGUGAAAACCACUGUCGCCUGUAACGAAGAGGGAGUGACGGUAAUGAGUAAAGAAGCACCGGCUAACUACGUG